CAGAGGUUACUGCUAUCGAGAUUCGACUAAGCCAUGCGAGUUGAAUGUUCUUCGUGAACAUGGCGGACUGCUCAGUAACACGUGGACAACCUACCCUUGGGUCCGGCAUAAUCCUGGGAAACUGGGAAUAAUUCCGGAUAGGUCACCGAUGCUGGAAUGCGCGGUGGCCGAAAGCUCCGGCGCCCGAGGAUGGGUCUGCGGCCUAUCAGGGUUGUAGUGGGUGUAACGUACCUACUAGCCUACGACGGGUACGGGUUGUGAGAGCAAGAGCCCGGAGAUGGAUUCUGAGACACGAAUCCAGGCCCUACGGGGUGCAGCAGGCGCGAAAACUUUACAAUGCGGGAAACCGUGAUAAGGGGAUCUCGAGUGCCAGCAUAUAAUGUUGGCUGUCCAGAUGCCUAAAAAGCAUCUGUUAGCAAGGGCCGGGCAAGACCGGUGCCAGCCGCCGCGGUAACACCGGCGGCCCGAGUGGUAACCGCUAUUAUUGGGUCUAAAGGGUCUGUAGCCGGCCAGGUAAGUCCCUUGGGAAAUCUGGCAGCUCAACUGUCAGGCUGCUAGGGGAUACUGUUUGGCUUGGGACCGGGAGAGGUGAGAGGUACCUUGGGGGUAGGGGUGAAAUCUUGUGAUCCUCGAGGGACCACCAGUGGCGAAGGCGUCUCACCAGAACGGGUCCGACGGUAAGGGACGAAAGCUAGGGGCACGAACCGGAUUAGAUACCCGGGUAGUCCUAGCCGUAAACGAUGCUCGCUAGGUGUCAGUCACGGUGCGACCGUGAUUGGUGCCGUAGGGAAGCCGUGAAGCGAGCCACCUGGGAAGUAUGGCCGCAAGGCUGAAACUUAAAGGAAUUGGCGGGGGAGCACURCAWCGGGUGGAGCCUGCGGUUUAAUUG
rnacentral:rRNA from 1 species